rnacentral:rRNA from 1 species
GAUGAACGCUGGCGGUGGGCCUAAUACAUGCAAGUCGAGCGAAAGGACGGGAAGCUCGCGUUCCUGAUGGUAGCGGCGGACGGGUGAGUGACACAUAGAUAACAUACUUAUAAGACUGGGAUAAUUUCGUGAAGCCAGAGCUGAUACCACAUAAUAUUUUGAACCGCUUAGUGCAAAAGUUAAAGACGCUCUUGCUGUCACUUAUAGAUGGAGCCGCGCUGCAUUAGCUAGUUGGUAAGGUAACGGCCUACCAAGGCAACGAUGCGUGGCCGACCUGAGAGGGUGAUCGGCCACACUAGAACUGAGACACGGUCCAGACUCCUACGGGAGGCAGCAGUAGGGAAUCUUGCGCAAUGGGCGAAAGCCUGACCGAGCAACGCCGCGUGAGUGAAGAAGGUCUUCGGAUUGUAAAACCCUGUUAUUAGGGAAGAAAAGCAGUGUAAGUAACUGUGCACAUCUUGACGGUACCUAAACAGAAAGCCACGGCUAACUACGUG